rnacentral:rRNA from 1 species
GAUGAACGCUAGCUACAGGCUUAACACAUGCAAGUCGAGGGGCAGCAUGGUCUUAGCUUGCUAAGGCCGAUGGCGACCGGCGCACGGGUGAGUAACACGUAUCCAACCUGCCGUCUACUCUUGGACAGCCUUCUGAAAGGAAGAUUAAUACAAGAUGGCAUCAUGAGUCCGCAUGUUCACAUGAUUAAAGGUAUUCCGGUAGACGAUGGGGAUGCGUUCCAUUAGAUAGUAGGCGUGGUAACGGCCCACCUAGUCUUCGAUGGAUAGGGGUUCUGAGAGGAAGGUCCCCCACAUUGGAACUGAGGCACGGUCCAAACUCCUACGGGAGGCAGCAGUGAGGUAUAUUGGUCAAUGGGCGAGAGCCUGAACCAGCCAAGUAGCGUGAAGGAUGACUGCCCUAUGGGUUGUAAACUUCUUUUAUAAAGGAAUAAAGUCGGGUAUGGAUACCCGUUUGCAUGUACUUUAUGAAUAAGGAUCGGCUAACUCCGUG